AGGAAGUUGAUCCAUUAUCCCUGCAACAAUGCAUAGAAUAUAUUUACACUGGUGAAUUGUCUACUACUGAUGAAAAUGCUGAAUCUUUGAUGUUUGUGGCUGAAUUACUACAGUUGAAAGAUGUCUGUAAAAGCAUCGUUGAUUCACUCGAAGAAAAUCUCGAAUCGUCUGCGAAUCAUUUUUGCGACAAAAAGAAUCGCAAACCUGUACAAUUACAAAGAAUUGAUGGAAAAAUGCGAGAAGUUCAUGCUGGAUAAAUUUGAAGAAAUUGCAGUUCUUGAUGAGUUCAAGGAAAUAGAGGAAAAGGAUUUGUUGAUUGAUCAAGUCACAAGAAAACAAGGCAUCAGAGAGUGUGAAGCUGAAGGCUUUGAUAUCUUGGAUAAAACAUGAGCAAAGAAAUCGCACAAAACUUCUGAAGAAAUUGAACAACUACAUUGAUUUGCAUAAAGUACCGGUGACUUAUAGAAGAUUCCUUGUUGAAAACGAGCCAAUGGUAAAGUCAUGCCCUGAAUGCUC